GACGAACGCUGGCGGCGUGCUUAACACAUGCAAGUCGAACGGAAAGGCCCUGCUUUUGUGGGGUGCUCGAGUGGCGAACGGGUGAGUAACACGUGAGUAACCUGCCCUUGACUUUGGGAUAACUUCAGGAAACUGGGGCUAAUACCGGAUAGGAGCUCCUGCUGCAUGGUGGGGGUUGGAAAGCUUCGGCGGUUGGGGAUGGACUCGCGGCUUAUCAGCUUGUUGGUGGGGUAGUGGCUUACCAAGGCUUUGACGGGUAGCCGGCCUGAGAGGGUGACCGGCCACAUUGGGACUGGGAUACGGCCCAGACUCCUACGGGAGGCAGCAGUGGGGAAUAUUGCACAAUGGGCGGAAGCCUGAUGCAGCAACGCCGCGUGCGGGAUGACGGCCUUCGGGUUGUAAACCGCUUUCGCCUGUGACGAAGCGUGAGUGACGGUAAUGGGUAAAGAAGCACCGGCUAACUACGUG
rnacentral:rRNA from 1 species